UUCCGGUUGAUCCUGCCGGAGGGCAUUGCUAUUGGGGUUCGACUAAGGAAUGCUAGUCGACCGCCGUUCCUUCGGGAACGGAGGGGCGAACGGCUCAGUAACACGUGGCUAACCUGCCCUCGCGUGGGAAAUAACCUCGGGAAACUGAGGCUAAUGUCCCAUAGGGGAGGAUGUCUGGAAUGACGCCCCCCUGAAAGCUCCGGCGCGCGAGGAUGGGGCUGCGGCCGAUUAGGUAGUAGGUGGUGUAACGGACCACCUAGCCGACGAUCGGUACGGGCCGUGGGAGCGGGAGCCCGGAGACGGGUACUGAGACAAGGACCUGGGCCCUAAGGGGCGCAGCAUUCGCGAAAACUCCGCAAUGCGCGAAAGCGUGACGGGGGAACCCCAAGUGCCAACACAACGUGUUGGCUUUUCUGGAGUGUAAAAAGCUCCAGGAAUAAGGGCUGGGUAAGACCGGUGCCAGCCGCCGCGGUAACACCGGCAGCCCGAGUGAUGUCCGCGUUUAUUGGGCUUAAAGCGUCCGUAGCCGGCCUGUUAAGUCCCCGGUCAAAUCCGGCGGCUUAACCGUCGGUUAUCUGGGGAUACUGGCAGGCUUGAGGCCGGGAGAGGUCAGAGGUACUCCUGGGGUAGGGGUAAAAUCCGAUAAUCCCAGGGGGACCACCAGUGGCGAAGGCGUCUGACUGGAACGGGCCUGACGGUGAGGGACGAAACCCUGGGGAGCGAUCCGGAUUAGAUACCCGGGUAGUCCAGGGCGUAAACGAUGUGGGCUGGGUGUGGGCCAAUCGGAAGGAUUGGUCUGUGCCGAAGCGAAAGCGAUAAGCCCACCGCCUGGGGAGUACGGUCGCAAGGCUGAAACUUAAAGGAAUUGGCGGGGGGGCACCACAAGGGGUGGAGCCUGCGGUUUAAUUGGAUUCAACGCCGGGAAUCUUACCAGGAGCGACAGCAGGAUGAAGGCCAGGCUGACGACCUUGCUGGACGAGCUGAGAGGAGGUGCAUGGCUGCUGUCAGCUCGUACUGUGAAGCGUCCUGUUAAGUCAGGCAACGAGCGAGACCCACGCCCUCAGUUGCCAGCAGAUCCGGAAGGAUGCUGGGGACUCUGAGGGGACCGCCAUCGAUAAGAUGGAGGAAGGAGUGGGCGACGGUAGGUCAGUAUGCCCCAAAUCUCCUGGGCUACACGCGUGCUACAAUGGCCGGGACAAUGGGCUGCGACUCCGAGAGGAGAAGCCAAUCCCCUAAACCCGGUCUUAGUCCGGAUUGAGGGCUGUAACUCGCCCUCAUGAAGAUGGAAUCCCCAGUAACCGCGUGUCAACAUCGCGCGGUGAACAUGUCCCUGCUCCUUGCACACACCGCCCGUCACACCAUCCGAGUGGGGUGCGGGUGAGGUCCGGUCCUUCGGGUCGGAUCGAACCCACGCCCCAUAAGGGGGGUUAAGUCGUAACAAGGUAGCC
rnacentral:rRNA from 1 species